GAUGAAGAACGUAGCAAAAUGCGAUACUUGGUGUGAAUUGCAGAAUCCCGUGAACCAACGAGUUUUUGAACGCAAGUUGCGCCCGAAGCCUUUUGGCCGAGGGCACGUCUGCCUGGGCGUCACGCAUCGCGUCGCCCCCCACAAUUCUCCGUAAAGGGAACAUGUGUUUUGGGGGCGGAUAUUGGUCUCCCGUGCUCAUGGCGUGGUUGGCCGAAAUAGGAGUCCUUUCGAUGGACGCACGAACUAGUGGUGGUCGUAAAAACCCUCGUCUUUUGUUUCGUGCUGUUGCUCGCAAGGUAAACUCUUUAAAAACCCCAAUGUGUCGUCUCUUGACGACGCUUCGACCGCGACCCCAGGUCAGGCGGGACUACCCGCUGAGUUUAAGCAUAUCAAUAAGCGGAGGA
rnacentral:misc_RNA from 1 species